AGGAUAACCCAGAAGUAGAAAAGCGAGAUCCUCAGGAAUUAGUUGCCUCCUUUUCUGAAAGAGUCCGGAACAUGUCACCCGAUGAAAUCAAGAUCCCGCCCGAGCCCCCUGGCAGGUGUUCGAACCACUUACAAUGCUUCCUCUGGCCAGUCUCGGCAGAAAGAUUCAGCCUUCUGACAAAGGGAGUGGAUCACCUCUCCUGAUGUACCCCAAGGGCGUCACACAGGACCUCCAGCCCUGCCCACCUCCUCUUGCAGGUGAAGAGUACCCCAAAUAUUUUCCUUCUGGAGAGUCUGUGCAUUUAGCCACCACUAGUGGGGGAGGCUGCAGAGAGACCUUGCCCUGGGCCAGCCCCAGCCUUGCUGGGUAAGACUGCUCCUCCUCAGAGGUGAAUCUGCCCUGACACUCGGGUUUCUGGGGCCUCUUCCCGCGCUGGGUGGUGCGGCUGCCAGCUGCUGCCGGCCUCCUCUCUGUGGGCCUUGAGACAUCUGUGGGACUGGCCUGGAUCUCUGCCAGGUGGUUCUCCUAUUGCCCAUUGAAAGCCAGAAGAGGGGUCUGGGGCGGGGGGGCGGUUAAUGAGACAGGCUCUUGACCCCUGACAGUGCCUCUGUCGUGGGGACUGGCCAUCUGUGAGCCUCCCUACAAAGGACACUUUGGGAAGUUUGUGAGGCCAAAUCCAAAAAAACACUACUCCUUCCUUCCUCUGAAAGGACGUAACCUUCCCAGGUCUCCCACUGAGGACUUAACCCCGUGUUAAAAUUCAAAACCAGGGGCGCCUGGGUGGUUCAGUCGUUAAGCGUCUGCCUUCGGC